rnacentral:rRNA from 1 species
AUGAAACACUCCUACGGGAGGCAGCAGUGGGGAAUAUUGCACAAUGGGCGUAAGCCUGAUGCAGCGACGCCGCGUGGGGGAUGAAGGCCUUCGGGUUGUAAACUCCUUUCGCUAGGGACGAAGCUUUGUGUGACGGUACCUAGAUAAGAAGCACCGGCUAACUACGUGCCAGCAGCCGCGGUAAUACGUAGGGUGCGAGCGUUGUCCGGAAUUACUAGGCGUAAAGGGCUCGUAGGUGGUUUGUCGCGUCGUCUGUGAAAUUCUGGGGCUUAACUCCGGGCGUGCAGGCGAUACGGGCAUAACUUGAGUGCUGUAGGGGUAACUGGAAUUCCUGGUGUAGCGGUGAAAUGCGCAGAUAUCAGGAGGAACACCGAUGGCGAAGGCAGGUUACUGGGCAGUUACUGACGCUGAGGAGCGAAAGCAUGGGUAGCGAACAGGAUUAGAAACCCUAGUAGUCCGAAGUUC